rnacentral:rRNA from 1 species
ACCGGGUUAAUCCUGCCAUAA